rnacentral:tRNA from 5 species
GCCGAAGUGGCGGAAUUGGUAGACGCGCUAGGUUCAGGGUCUAGUGGGGGUUUCCCCGUGGAAGUUCGAGUCUUCUCUUCGGCACCA